UUGACAAACAUGGAGAGGAAUUAAAAAGACAAGAGAGAGAGAAUUAGGAGACAUGUAAUCCGUUAUUAGGUAAGUACCAUUGAUUAUUUCAGUAUAUAUGGCUAUACCAUUUUCAUAUAGGUAAUUAAACACAAUAAUGCCCCUUACUUUUCAUAUAUAUAUAAAUAAAGGACAUAUUAUUCUGAAGACAGGGAGAGCAAUCUAAUACUACUUAUACCCGAGUAUAGCUUGAAAGCUGACAAGUUCAUAGCUAUUUUCUGGAAUUGUAAGAUACUUAACUAUUUUAGCCACAUAUGCCACAGGAUAUCCGUCGCAGUUUUUAGCUUCUAUCACGAGAAUAUAUGACCAUAAUAUAGUUCCAAUAAUAGCACGGGGUGCUAAACCACUCACUACACGAGUGAAAACUAAAUUGUCAUUUUCUUUCUUGUUAUGUUCAUCCACUGCUAUCUUUCCAGCUUCUAUCACGUUUGGGCUAUGGACAUCCUUAAUCAGGUCAUGAGUAUUUGGAAGUACUUGUACACAACUCAUGAUAUUUGGAUCGUUUGAUAUGGUUAAUUAGAGAAGAUAUUAGUAGGGUUUUGAUUUUAGAGUUUGGUAUUUAUAGUUGUGAUUCAACGCUCUUGCAACGUUAAAAUUGUCUAAUUUGAUAGAAUGGAAUCUUGCAAUUAGACACAUUAUUACAUGUGAAUUAAAAGAAGAGACGAUUGAUAUUCAUCAUCUUUACGCUAAGAGAUAACUUUGAAUCAAAUUCCUCUUUUGGGUUCAUGGGUUAUGUUAUCUUAGUCAAACAAUAAUGCACCUUUUUGUGAUUUAGCUACGGAUUUUUGGAUAAUUGUUUUAAAUGGUAAAGUUGCUGCAAAUAUUUUCAAAUAUGGCAAAAUGUCACUUAUCAACAAAAUGACAAUUCAGUUAUCUCUAUUUGAGCUCAUAGUUAGGCGCUAAAUCAUAAAGAAUAGAAGAUUUUGUGUUCAUAUGAGUAUACUAUGUUAUCUUUGGUUACUCCCAUUUCUUUUAUUUAUUUCUUUGUUUAUUUUAUUUAUUUGAUUAUUUGAUUACUCAGUUUAUACCAAAUAUUAAAUGAAACAUUCAAACAAUCUCAGUGCAUCCAAUAUCUUGUAGCAAAAUUAAUCUCAUCAAUAUCAAUGAGUAAUUUCAAAUCAAAUCAAGUAUCUAUGACUUGGCUGCAAUGGAAUGUGGACACAACCACAUAUGGGUACCGCUACACCUAAUUAUUUAUGUUUUUGUAUUGGUACUACAUGUAGAAGAAAGAAGAUACAAAAAUUAGAACCAUAGAGAAACUUUAAGGUGUUAGUUUUAAAAUUCAAAAAACCAAAACUUUGAUGAAAAACAUUGUGUAACCCAAUUUGGAGGCCAAAACGGACGUUUUUGGGAUGUGUCGAGUCUUGUAGCCCACUUGGAAUGCACCUUGCUCUGAUUCACCCAAGAAAUAACCUUCUCGCCUUCUCUUGAUCAAAACGCAAACUUCCUUGAAUCUAAAUUGCACAACAGCCCCCAUUCACAAACUAGACUCAUUUUCUGAACUUUCAAGACUAAUUUGUAUAAUUUUGCGUGAGUAAGUUGUGACAAAUUGAUUGCUAAAUUAGUUGUAGGUUUUAGUACUGAAUUCCAAUUUGAAGUGUUGUUAGGAUUUAAAAUUGAAGUUGUGUUUGAAUUUGAGAUUGAAGUUGAGUUCGAAUUCCAAUUUGAAUUUAGGAAUUAUAUUGAAUUCGACGAGGAUUAUAUUGAAUGGGGGGGGGGGGGGUUAUAUAUUGUAGAUUGUAGAUGACGUUGCCUCUAAAUAAUUUAUAUGUGGAUGAAUGUUGUUAGUGAAUGUUAUUGUUGGUAAAUUUUAGUUAAAUUUUGGUUGAAAAGUGUUGCUUUUAUAAUUUAUAGUUAGUUUAUGGUUGAAUUGGAUUUAUAUUUGAUUUUGUAGUUAGGAGUGGUUGAAUAAGAGUUAGUUUAGGGAUUAAUGUUGUUGAAUUUUGUUAUUGUUGUAAGAUGUUGUAUCAAUAUUUGUUGUUUAACUUGUUACUAAGACUACUAGUUAGUUGAUAAGUUAUUGGUUUUGUUUAGUAAUAAACUUCUCCAAGUUAUAAGCUUUUUAGUUCUUUCGUUCAUGUCUAUCAUUUAUCUUUCGAGCUUUAUAUCUCCAUCAAUACUAACUCAUUUUAUGCAUAUGACCACUUGAUUAGAUGCGUUUUUUCACGAUCUUUACAUCUAUUAUCAUAAAGUUAGCAUUUUAUUAACGUAUCUUGACAUUAAAUUUCCUUCAAAACUACAUAAACCUAUAAUUAAACUUUGGAAGUCCAUAACUUUGAGCAUAGUUGUCCGAAUUGGAUUUUUUUCUUAUUUCAUGUAACUUUACGAGAUCUACGUUCUUGACAAGUUUCUAAAUUCAGUUUCCCUUGGAAUGUAAUUCUGCAAUUACGGGAUGAGAAAAUUAACUCAUUUUAGAGCAACUUUGAAGAAUGAAGUUAGUCAAAACAGUUACGUAUUUAAAGUUAUGAUUUUUCAAAGACGAUUCAUGUUUAUGGAAGUUUUAAAUAUUCAUAUCGUAAGAUUAUUAUAUCAAAAAUAAAAUAUGAGUUGAUAGAUUGGAGGUGAGAAAAAUUGUGUAUAUGUUAAGUCCCUUAAUUUAAAAUGUCCAUAUUCUCACACAGGUGAUCUAAAUAAAUAACAAAAUUAUGAAUUGAGUUGACAAACAAUGGAGAGAAAUUAAAAAGACAACCGAGACAAAGAAAAUUAUAAUUAGGAUAAUUGUACUCUAUUAUUGUAUAAGUAUCAUUGAUUAUUUCAGUAUAUAUGACUACCAUUUUCAUAUAAGUAAUUAAACAUAACAAUGCCCCUUAUUUAUAUAUAUAAAUAAAGGGCAUAUUAUUCUGAAGAUAGGGAAGGCAAUCUAAUACUACUUAUACUCGAGUACAGCUUCAAACCUCACAAGUUCAUAAUUAUUUUCUGGAAAAUACUUAUCUAUUUCAACCACAUAUGUUAAAGGAUAUCCAUCGCAAGUUUUAGCUUCUAUCACAAGAAUAUAUGACGAUAAUUUUAUCCAAGGAAGAGCAAGGUGUUGGUAACCAGUCACUACACGAAUGAAAACUAAAUUGUCAUUUUCUUUCUUGUUAUGUUCUUCUACAGCUAUCUUUCCAGCUUCUACCACAUUUGGGCUAUGGACAUCCUCAAUCAGUUUAAGAGCAUUUGGAGGUAAUUGUACGCAACUCAUGAUAUUUGGACUGUUGGAUAUGGUUAAUUAGAGAAGAUAUUAGUAGGGUUUUGAUUUUAGGGUUUGGUAUUUAUAGUUGUGAUUCAACGCUCUUGCAACGCUAAACUUGUCUAAUUUGAUAGAAUGGAAUAUUGCAAUUAGACUCAUUAUUACACGUUAAUUAAAAGAAAAGACGAUUGAUAUUCAUCCUCUUUACGCUAAGAGAUAACUUUGAAUCAAAUUCCUCUUUACGCUAAGAGAUAACUUUGAAACAAAUUCCUCUUUUGGGUUCAUAUAGGUUAUGUUAUUUUAGGCAAACAAUGAUGCACCUUUUUGUGAUUUAGCUACAAAUUUUUGGAUAAUUGUUUUAAAUGGUAAAGUUGCUGCAAAUAUUUAAUUUUCAAAUAUGGCAAAAGGUCACUUAUCAACAAAAUGACAAUUUAGUCAUCUUUAUUUGAGCUCAUACUUGGACACUAAAUCAUAAAGAAUAGAAGAGUUUUUGUUCAUAUGAGUAUACUAUGUUAUCUUUGGUUAUUCCAAUUUCUUUUAUUUAUUUAUUUUAUUCGUUGAUUAGUUAGUUUAUAUCCAAACAAAUCAGAAGAUUAGCAGUUUUAGGCUAUUUAGAUUCGGUCAGAUUUUCUUAGGUUGUUUCGUGUGUUUUUUUGUGGGUCUUUUUAUGCGGGACUACGUCUGAGAUGUGUGAUAAUUUUUUUUUUUUUUGAGAAACCAUGAUUCUGAUGAGGUGGAAUUGCUAUUGAAACUUGGCAGCUAUAUCGUUGAUUUUGGUGAGUUCAUCGUACGUGAUAUCUUACUAUUGUGGUAGUUAAAGGUGAAGAAAGUAGAAGCGGAGGGAUCGUACAGAGUCAAGGGAAUGCUUGAUAUUUGAGGUUGUCUUGUAAUAUCUCAUUUAGGGGAACAUGCUCCGGUAUACAUGAGACGGGUUCAGUGCAGAACAAUCCUAGGCAAGUGUAUUUGUAGAUCUUAGAUUGACUGUGUAUAUGAUUAUUCUAUAUCAUGUUGAUUUUUAUAUAAUGGACAAUAGUCUUGUACUCAUGACUAUUUUAUAAGAUAUUAGAUGAUCUCUUCCCAUGGAUUAAAGACCUCCUAGAUGUAGAUGUUGUGACCUCAAACUAGGUCACCAGCUCUCUCUCUUUUUUUUUUUUUUUUUUUUUUUUUUGCAUUUAGUUACUUGUAUGUUUUUCUUUUUCUUUAGUAAAUGAGCGUGGUUUCAUGUGUUAAAACGUCUAAGGUAAAGAUGUCACAUCUUCAAAUUUUAACAUCCAAGUUUGAACCUCUUAAAAUUAUAGACAAUGAAGCGAUAGUAGAAUUUCUCCCCAAUUCUAGGACAGUUGUUUUUUUCUUUUCCAUAUAAAUACCCUAAUUUAUCCCCAAUUCUUUACUAAUUCGCACCAUUCAUCACCUGUAAAAAAGCCGUAAUAGAAUUUUCUCUCAAUAAAAUUGUGUCCAUUUUUUCUCUCUCAUAUUGAUUAUGCAAUUCUUCAAUUCUAGUAUAUAUUUUCGAGUUAUUUGAACUGGCAACCCGAAUAAUCCGAAUUUAGUUUCUAACCCAACUCAACUCGUAAAAUAUAGGUGGAGUUGUCCGGUUGAAUAUAUAAAUAUUUUAUUAAUUUUUCCUCUUUUCUAGUUUCUAAUAGUUAUAAAAGUUUAAAAUUGUUACAUUUAGAUGUCAAACAUACAUGAUUCAAACUUUCAUACAAUAAAUUCAAAAUUUAUAUACCUCUAAUUUGUUUUUAUUAAAAUAACAUUUAUUUAUUUAUUUAUAUAUUGUAUUAAUUCGGAUUGGGUUAGGUUGAACCAAAUUUUUCAACCUCCAACCCAAGACCCAACCCAAUCCGAAAAAAUCAAAUUUUUUUAACCCAACCCAACCCAUAUUUUAACCUAAUCCAAUCCAACCCUUAUAAUAUAGGUUGGGUAGUCCGGGUUAUUCAGGUUCAAUCUAUAUUUGUACACCCCUGUAUUAGUCCUUUAAUUUUCUCCAAGAAAGUAUGAUUUUAAUUAAAAUUUUAGUUUACAAAAUUAAUCCUUUUCGUAAUUGUAAACUAUGAUAAUUAAUUCUACUAACUACUUUCGAUUAAUUUUUUUUAUUUAAUAUUUAAAAUUAUAAACAAACUUUUAUAAGGUUGAUUUUUUAGAUCAAACCAAUUAAAAUUAUUUCAAUCUUUAGUUUAUUUGACUUGUCAUGCAAAAUCUAUAACAAUAAUUUUAAAAUGGGAGUGCUCGUAGUAUAGUUUAAUUUUGAGAACUAAAAUUAAAAAAAAAAGAAAAAGAAAAAAAGAAUUUUAAUUUAUUAUUUGUUAUUAAUCAAAUAUCUAUUUGAAGUUAAAUAAAAAGUAAAUAGUAAUGCAGAUUGUUUGAGUGGUUUAGGUUCCACCCAACAAAGAGAGUUUUCCAUAAUUUUUUUAUUUUCAUGCAUAAAAGAGAAUGAAAAAAAUAUGAAAACACUAAUGUACCCAUUUUUUAAGCCAAUGAUUUUACACCAUGUGUCAAUCAUGAAAAGGUGAAGCCCACCUAAUCCCAAAUCAAGGGACCAAACAGUACCUAUAGGAAUAGUUAGGUUAAUAAUGAAAAUUGUGGAUGACUUUUGUCUAAUGCCAUGCUUCUUAACUUGCUUUCAAAAUAUUAAUUAAUCAAUUCAACUUGCAUGAAAUUCAUGCAAAAGACGGUUUCAUAGAGAAAGUAAUUUGAAAAUAGUUUAUAACAACAUAUCCCAUGUAGAACAUUUCAGUAAUUAACAAAAAGUUUCAUUCUUUUCUUUAUUUUUACUUUUGCAAUUUUACCCUUACAACUUUUAUCUUAACUCUAAAAUAUAUUAUUAAGGUCGAAACAAUUCUAGAAUAGUUAAAUUAAAUCGGUCGUUUGAUCUUUAACACAUUCGUUUGUGCUACACUGUGAUCUUUCAAAAUAAUUUUGAUGGUGAAAUAUAUAAAAACAUGAUAGGGUUAUAUUUCUCCCAUUCAUGGUGCAUGAUGAUGUGUAACUUUUAAUAUUUGUUUUAGUUAUUGUAAUUAUUAUAAAACAAGGGUGUGUGGAGUUCUAUGGUAAAAAGGGGAGAGGGAUUUUUCUAAUUAUUUUUAUUUCAAUUAUAUUGGAAAUUACCAUGUCUUUCACAAAUGAUCUUACAAUAAAGAUUACUGUAUCAAACAAUAUGAACAAUAUGAACAUGUUCAACUUACAUGCAAUAAAUGAUUUGGGUAGGUAUCAUGUUAUAUUAUUUGAACUAUUUUUUAUUAGUUAAAAUAUUUAUAAAAUAUAACAAAAUAUUACAGUUUGACUAUUUACGAUGAUAAAUAAAGAUAGAUCACUAUACAUGUGUUCAUUACACUCAACUUAUGUCAUGAUAGACACUCAAAUUGUGUUACAUGAUAAAUACAUAAGAGUCUAUCUUAAUAUAUUAUAGCUAGAUUGUAAUAUUUUAAUUACUAUAUUUAUAUAUUUAAGUUGUGUGAAUUAAAAUAAUUUUUUAUAAUUUGUCUUGAAAAUAUAAAACCUUAAUUUACAUAUACUUUGUUAAUACAAUAUACCUUAGCGUUACGAGGAUGACUUAAUAUUAUGUUAGAAAACUAUUUUGGUAAAAGACAAUCAUUUGUGCUAAUUAUAUUUUGUGAGCAAGAGCAUGGAUGUAGUUAAAUAUUCAUAUCGUAGGAUACUUUGUUAUAUCAAAAAUGAAAUAUAAGUUUAUAGAUUGGAGGUGAGAAAAUUUGUGUAUAUGUUAAGUCCCUUAAUUUAAAAUGUCCAUAUUCUCACAUAGGUGAUCUAAAUAAAUAACAAAAUUAUGAAUUUAGUUGACAACCAUGGAGAGAAAUUAAAAAGACAAGAGAGAGAACAUUAGGACACAUGUGCUCCAUUAUUAGGCAAGUAUCAUUGAUUAUUUCAUAUAGGUAAUUAAACACAGUAAUACCCCUUAUUUAUAUAUAUAAAUAAAGGGCAUAUUAUUCUGAAGAUAGGGGAGAGCAAUCUAAUACUACUUAUACUCGAGUACUGCUUCAAACCUCACGAGUUUAUAGUUAUUUUCUGGAAAAUACUUGUCUAUUUCAACCACAUAUGUUACAGGAUAUCCAUCGCAAGUUUUAGCUUCUAUCACAAGAAUAUAUGACCAUAUUUUAAUCAAAAUAAUAAAACGGGGUGCUAAACCACUCACUGCACGAAUGAAAACUAGAUUGUCAUUUUCUUUCUUGUUAUGUUCUUCCACUGCUAUCUUUCCAGCUUCUAUCACGCUUGGGCUAUGGACAUUCUCAAUCAGCUCAUAAAUAUUUGGAGGUACUUGUACACAACUCAUGAUAUUUGAACUGUUGGAUAUGGUUAAUUAGAGAAGAUAUUAAUAGAGUUUUGAUUUCAGAGUUUGGUAUUUAUAGUUGUGAUUCAACGCUCUUGCAACGUUAAAG
rnacentral:lncRNA from 1 species